AACAAAAAGGGUGAAACUGUCACAGCUCUGUCUUCAUUCAUUGAUCAGUGUUUCUGGACUCUUUGCCACAUGUCAGGCACUAACUGAAGCUCUAAAGACAGAAAGGUAAAUAGGAAAUGUUCCCUGCCCUCUAGGAACACACUGUCCUGUGGACACAGAGAAGUAAACAGAAACAUCCCACAGAUUGUGGCAAGUGUCCUCCCAAGGGAAUGUCACCCGAAGAAGAGCAGAAAAGCUUCCAGGAAGAUGCAGCUCUUGAAGGCUAAACUUGGUCAGACGGUGGAGGAUGGGGGUGGGAAUUUUAAAUAAAGAACAGUAUUUGCAAAAGGCAAAAAGAUGAAAGAUGCCCCGUUUCUAGAAGUUGCAGUUCGCUUGACUAUAGCAGUAGCUAAUAAGUGAAGGUAGGAGAGAGACAAGGGCAGUGGGGUAGGCAGAGCACAUUUCCAAAGAGCCUUGAAGUCAAGUUGCAGACUCAAAGGGCCUCUUGACGGACCUACGCAGAAGCACAGAGACCAACUGGCAGGAAUCACCGAAGACCACAUCCAUCCUUGUUCCGAAGAAUGGUCUUGAGCUCCCCCUCCUCGAUGCAACUGGCCGGAAGACCAUCCUUGUCUUAGGAAAGGUUACAAAGGUACCAUUGGAAAUUACCACGUAAAUAUCCCCAAAUCCUAACCUCAGAAAUGAUCCACCUAGCAUAUGAAAAACAAACCAGGAGAAAAGCUGUAAUGGAAAAUUAGGUCUAGAAGAUGGUUUUGCCUGUAAUGUAACUGUGAUUGGAGUCUAGAGGUGAGCAGAUGGGUCACACAAAAACAUCCCUCCCAUAUAUAAAUAAUGGGUGGACUCCAUUUGCCUCUGACAAGUAUUUUGUCAUGUUCAGAUGUUGUCUGAGGACUUGCCACUUUCCCAAGCCUUUCAAAGAACGUUCACUAAAGAAGAACAAAAAUACAGACACCCAAGCACUUUGUUUUUCCAUGAUUCACUUUACCCAGGACUGAACUGGGUUGGCCAUUAAUUUUAUACCAUGGUCAUGUUUAUACAGACAAAUUAAAGUGGACAUGGCACCAUUAGCUGGAUGGCUUGGUUCAUUGUUCGCCAAUGUAAAAAUUACAGCAUCUUCCAAUAGUUUCUCCGAACAAUAAUUAGGGCUCCCAUUUUAUUUUGGACAGAAUAAUUAAAGCAAUCUGUCACUGCUGCAUUUUGUUUUGCUGGCAAUGAGGUAGCAGAGCAGUGAAUACUGCCAGCUGAGGUUCUAGACGUGUCACUCAGGAAAAGUCUGUAGCAAAAACCUAUCAAAGGCUGGAGGAAUGAAAACAGCUUCAUUGAAGAAACUGAUAAAAUGAAAUCUAAACUUUCUAAUUACUCUGACUUGCACAUGUGGGUCAUGGAAGUAGGAAAAAAAUGACUGCAUCUUUCUAGAAGUCCCUGAGCUUGUCCCCUGGGCCCAGUAGGAGUUGGAGUCUGGUGGGAAAAAGACCAAAAAACAGGAGUGGUGGUAGAUUAGUAAUAAGGACUUCACAACCAAGAGACCCCUGUUUUUCUCCUGUUUCACAGAGGGUCCAUUUAAUAUGAGUAUGGUUGAGAUGGACAAAGAAAAGUGUGAAUAUUCCUAGUUAUUCUCUUCCUCUGUCUGCACAUCCCUCCUGUUUGGCUCUUGCACCCCAGGAGGAAGAAGCCUUGGGAAUGUGAAUAAAAGAGCUGUGGACAUCAUAUAUCCCACAUCUCCUUGGGAGGCAGAAGGAAUAAGGGGAUAAAUUAAGAGGACCGUCCCAAUUUUUGGAGAGGGUUAAGUUUGUGGGGAGAAAGAGAAGAACAUUGAGAACAGCUAAGUGACAUAACGAAAGAGGAUUCUAGGACAUGUUGCUGCUGUUAUGAAUGUAAACUUCCUCAGCCUUUUUUUUUUUUUUUUUUUUUUUUUUUUUGGUCUUUUUAGGGCU